CCUCCUGCUACAGAGUCACUGAGAUGUUGUGCAGUUAUGACAUGCCCUCCCACCACAAAAGAACAUUCCAGCUUGUCCAGGGGAUGGUCACGGAGGCCAGUGCUCCACCGGAUCCUCAGCAGCAGGAGCCUUCUGUGGUAGGAAAAGCAUGGGCAUCGGAGGCCGAGUCCGGGGCUCCCAUCCUGAUCCAUCACUGACUAGGUGCUGUGGGGCCUUGGAGACGUGGUUUCACCAUAUUGGCCAGGCUGGUCUCAAACUCCUGACCUUGUGAUCCGCCCGCCUUGGCCUCCCAAAGUGCUGGGAUUAUAGGCAUGAGCCGCUGCACCCCGCCCAGGUUGAGGUUUUUGAAGAGCAUCACCUUUGCAGGUGAGAAACGCUGCAGGCAGGAAUCCAGCCGUCAUUCUUGACACCACCCUUAUCUAAUCCCCUGCCAACAGCUAGUUCAAGCCAGCAUCAGCUCUCUCCUGGACCACUGCCACCGCCUUCUAACAGGAUUCCCACCUCCACCUCCACUGUCAUUACCCCCGAUCUACAGCCAACUUGAGAUGAUCAUGUCACCCCCUCCAUACCCAACACAACUCCAAAAUGCAAAGAGGCUUCCUCUGUUCUUGGAUCAAGGGUUUAAACAUGACCUAGAAGGCCUC